UGGGAUGUCGCCAAGUGGUAAGGCAAUGGAUUCUGACUCCAUUAUUCGCAGGUUCGAAUCCUGUCAUCCUAG
rnacentral:tRNA from 1 species